rnacentral:rRNA from 1 species
GAUGAACGCUGGCGGCGUGCCUAAUACAUGCAAGUCGAGCGAACGGACGAGAAGCUUGCUUCUCUGAUGUUAGCGGCGGACGGGUGGGUAACACGUGGAUAACCUACUUAUAAGACUGGGAUAACUUUGGGAAACCGGAGCUAAUACCGGAUAAUAUUUUGAACCGCAUGGUUCAAAAGUGAAAGACGGUCUUGCUGUCACUUAUAGAUGGAUCCGCGCUGCAUUAGCUAGUUGGUAAGGUAACGGCUUACCAAGGCAACGAUGCAUAGCCGACCUGAGAGGGUGAUAGGCCACACUGGAACUGAGACACGGUCCAGACUCCUACGGGAGGCAGCAGUAGGGAAUCUUCCGCAAUGGGCGAAAGCCUGACGGAGCAACGCCGCGUGAGUGAUGAAGGUCUUCGGAUCGUAAAACUCUGUUAUUAGGGAAGAACAUAUGUGUAAGUAACUGUGCACAUCUUGACGGUACCUAAUCAGAAAGCCACGGCUAACUACGUG